rnacentral:lncRNA from 1 species
AUAAUUGAAUAGAAUAACUUAUGUCAUCUAUAAAUUAAUUAAUUAAAAAUUAAUUUGUUAUAUUUGUAAAAGUAAAUCACCGAUCGUUGCCUAUAUCAGUAAUCAACUAAAGGACGAAAAUACUGACCGUUCCUAGAGCAAGUGGCAAAGGACUUCGGGGUUGGUAUCCGAGAUUCAAGUUCGAAUCCUAGUUGAUUCACAUCUCCAGCAAAAUUUAUUUCUAAAUAAAAUGAACGAAACAAAAACUUAUGCUCCGAUAUAUUAUUACAUCAAACAAAAUCCUCGUCAUUAAUUCCCCAACU